rnacentral:tRNA from 1 species
GGCAUGGUGUAGUGGUUUCAAAGUUAGACUAUGACUCUGGAGACCAGGGUUCGAUUCCCUGCUCAGCCU